GAAAUGCGAUAAGUAAUGCGAAUUGCAGAAUUCCGUGAGUCAUCGAAUCUUUGAACGCACAUUGCGCCCGCUAGUAUUCUGGCGGGCAUGCCUUCGAGCGUCAUUGCAACCCUCAGGCCCAGCCUGGCGUUGGAGGACUGCGCUGCAGCCUCCCAAAGCAAGCGGCGGCGGCGCCCCAAAACCGAACGCAGUAGUUACUUCUCGUUCUGGGUGUGGGACGUUGACCUGCCGGAAAACCCCAUCUUUUUAGUGGUUGACCUCGAAUCAGGUAGGACUACCCGCUGAACUUAA
rnacentral:misc_RNA from 1 species